CCCCUCCAGCUUCCUGAGCCAUCAGGACCCACCACAGGUCUGAGUGGUUAUCAGAGGAGGAAAAGUGGAACUGAAGCUGCUUUAAGUUCCUUUGCAACACACAGCGCCUGUCAAAUAACG
rnacentral:snoRNA from 1 species